GAUGAACGCUGGCGGUGUGCCUAACACAUGCAAGUCGAGCGACAACACAGGGAGCUUGUUCUCUUGCCGUUAGCGGGGGACGGGCGAGUAACGCAUGGAUAGCCAUCUAAUAUGUCUGGGAUAAUUACGGAAAACCGGUGCUAAUAACAGCUAAUACAUUGUACCGGAUGGUUCAAUAGAGCUUGACGGCUUUGCCGAUUCUAUUAGACGAUGCCGCAUUAGCUAGUUGGGUUGGUAAAGGCCCACCAAGGCAACGAUCCGUAGCUGGUCUGAGAGGAUGAUCAGCCACACUGGAACUGAGACACGGUCCAGACUCCUACGGGAGGCAGCAGUGGGGAAUCUUGCGCAAUGGGCGAAAGCCUGACGGAGCAACACCGCGUGAGUGAUGAAGGUCUUCGGAUUGUAAAGCUCUGUUAUUGGGGAAGAACAGAUGUGGAAGUAACCAUGGAUGUCUUGACGGUACCUAAAGAGAAAGCAACGGCUAACUACGUG
rnacentral:rRNA from 1 species